AUGAAUCAACAGCUAACCCCAGUAACUCUGCAAGAAUUUAUGCGCCUCAACCCUAAUAUCUAUCGCAGUUCAACACAACCCCUUCAUGUUGUUGACUGGCUCAACAUCGCUUAUGAGUUGGAGUCUACUAAUGUUGACCUGCCAACUAAGUCACUUUUGCAUCCUAUUUCCUCAAGGGUCCCGCUGCUCAAUGGUGAGACAAUCACAUGCGUACACAACCUGUGGGGACAGCCAUUAUCUGGCUGGAGUUCCAAGCUGCUUUCCGUGCCCUCUACAUUCCUCAGGGAAUCAUGGACAAGAAGUAGCGAGAGUUCCGCAACCUCACACAGGGCAACAAGACCAUGGAUGAUUAUCAGCGGGAGUUACUUGACUUGUCCCUCUAUGCUGAAGAAGAUAUCUCUACUGAUGCUCGCAGACAGGAAAAGCUCCGUGAAGGACUUCACCCUGAUAUCAAGCUCGCGCUCCUUGUUCAGGACUUCGCUGACUUCGCCACCCUGA
rnacentral:rRNA from 1 species